AAACUGGACAAGUACUGGUACCAACAAAUUGAGGAGAUCACCACAGUGGUCACCUCACAGUCUGCGGAGGUUGAAGCUGCUGAGAUGAUGCU
rnacentral:pre_miRNA from 1 species